AGCGUCCUACGUAAACCAGUAAGG
rnacentral:siRNA from 1 species